GAUCGUUGCAUCCUAGAGAUAGGACGUCCCCUUCGGGGGCAGAGUGACAGGUGGUGCAUGGUUGUCGUCAGCUCGUGUCGUGAGAUGUUGGGUUAAGUCCCGCAACGAGCGCAACCCUUGAUCUUAGUUGCCAGCAUUCAGUUGGGCACUCUAAGGUGACUGCCGGUGACAAACCGGAGGAAGGUGGGGAUGACGUCAAAUCAUCAUGCCCCUUAUGACCUGGGCUACACACGUGCUACAAUGGACAGAACAAAGGGCAGCGAAACCGCGAGGUUAAGCCAAUCCCACAAAUCUGUUCUCAGUUCGGAUCGCAGUCUGCAACUCGACUGCGUGAAGCUGGAAUCGCUAGUAAUCGCGGAUCAGCAUGCCGCGGUGAAUACGUUCCCGGGUCUUGUACACACCGA
rnacentral:rRNA from 1 species